AUCAGAUGUCAACGUGAGGUGAAAUGGAUAUAGCUGAAGUCAAGGGUGUGGUGAGGUUUUGCAGGGAGAGCAGGGACCUCCAACAAGGCCAGUGCAUAAGGGAGAAUAGAGAAAAAAAGAACCAGAAAAAAGACAAGGAGAGGCCAGAGAGGUGUGGAAAGAACCAGGGAAGACAGUUAUUCACAACAAACAAAAGAGGGGAGAGUUUUAGAGAAGGAACUGAGCAGUUUGGGGCUCCAGGUGGGGCAGGAGUGGGUGGCCACGGUUGAGCGGCAGUGGCCUUCAAAUUGGUCUCGGUAGGUUCUAAUGGGUCAGAUUGCUCAGUCCUUUCCAGGACACUGAAGGCUGCAGAGGUGUGACUGGAUGCUGGUGGAGGGAUGCAUGGCGGGGAAGCUGAGUCAGAUGCUGAAAUCCUCCAAGCAUGCGCCUGAAAUGACCAAGGGAAAUGAAGGCGGAGGCUGCUGUCGCCUGGUGGCCUGGGAAGGGCCAAGAGCCAGGGAGCUGGAGGGAGGAGAGAACGUGCGACCUCAGCACAGAGCACUGUAGGGGAGGCGGGGCUCGAGGGAGAUGGCGCCGCGCUCCCGGAUGAACAGAGAAAGCGACAGGAUACAGGGCCUCGCUCUGUUACCCAGGCUGGAGUGCUGUGGUGUGUUUGUGACUCACCAUAGCCUUGAACUCCUGGGCUCAAGCAAUCCUCCCACCUAAGCCUCUGGAGUAGCUGGGACUACAGUUCUCCUUCACCUUCCUCCAUGAGUAGAGGCAGCCUGAGGCCCUCACCAGAUGCAGAUGCCCAACCUUGAACUUUCCAACCAUUCAGAGUCAUU